UGCAGUCGAGCGGUAGCACAGAGAGCUUGCUCUCGGGUGACGAGCGGCGGACGGGUGAGUAAUGUCUGGGAAACUGCCUGAUGGAGGGGGAUAACUACUGGAAACGGUAGCUAAUACCGCAUAACGUCGCAAGACCAAAGUGGGGGACCUUCGGGCCUCAUGCCAUCAGAUGUGCCCAGAUGGGAUUAGCUGGUAGGUGGGGUAACGGCUCACCUAGGCGACGAUCCCUAGCUGGUCUGAGAGGAUGACCAGCCACACUGGAACUGAGACACGGUCCAGACUCCUACGGGAGGCAGCAGUGGGGAAUAUUGCACAAUGGGCGCAAGCCUGAUGCAGCCAUGCCGCGUGUGUGAAGAAGGCCUUCGGGUUGUAAAGCACUUUCAGCGGGGAGGAAGGCGGUGAGGUUAAUAACCUCAUCGAUUGACGUUACCCGCAGAAGAAGCACCGGCUAACUCCGUGCCAGCAGCCGCGGUAAUACGGAGGGUGCAAGCGUUAAUCGGAAUUACUGGGCGUAAAGCGCACGCAGGCGGUCUGUCAAGUCGGAUGUGAAAUCCCCGGGCUCAACCUGGGAACUGCAUUCGAAACUGGCAGGCUAGAGUCUUGUAGAGGGGGGUAGAAUUCCAGGUGUAGCGGUGAAAUGCGUAGAGAUCUGGAGGAAUACCGGUGGCGAAGGCGGCCCCCUGGACAAAGACUGACGCUCAGGUGCGAAAGCGUGGGGAGCAAACAGGAUUAGAUACCCUGGUAGUCCACGCUGUAAACGAUGUCGAUUUGGAGGUUGUGCCCUUGAGGCGUGGCUUCCGGAGCUAACGCGUUAAAUCGACCGCCUGGGGAGUACGGCCGCAAGGUUAAAACUCAAAUGAAUUGACGGGGGCCCGCACAAGCGGUGGAGCAUGUGGUUUAAUUCGAUGCAACGCGAAGAACCUUACCUGGUCUUGACAUCCACAGAACUUUCCAGAGAUGGAUUGGUGCCUUCGGGAACUGUGAGACAGGUGCUGCAUGGCUGUCGUCAGCUCGUGUUGUGAAAUGUUGGGUUAAGUCCCGCAACGAGCGCAACCCUUAUCCUUUGUUGCCAGCGGUCAGGCCGGGAACUCAAAGGAGACUGCCAGUGAUAAACUGGAGGAAGGUGGGGAUGACGUCAAGUCAUCAUGGCCCUUACGACCAGGGCUACACACGUGCUACAAUGGCAUAUACAAAGAGAAGCGACCUCGCGAGAGCAAGCGGACCUCAUAAAGUAUGUCGUAGUCCGGAUUGGAGUCUGCAACUCGACUCCAUGAAGUCGGAAUCGCUAGUAAUCGUAGAUCAGAAUGCUACGGUGAAUACGUUCCCGGGCCUUGUACACACCGCCCGUCACACCAUGGGAGUGGGUUGCAAAAGAAGUAGGUAGCUUAA
rnacentral:rRNA from 1 species